rnacentral:misc_RNA from 1 species
GUAGGUGAACCUGCGGAAGGAUCAUUAUCAAUUUGCUUUUAGCUGCCUUUUGUGCGGUUAUUUGUUUUUUGUGCACUGUUUUCUUUUUUUAGUUUGCUUUUUGUAAGUGGACUAAAAGAUGAAAAAUUGAUUUUCUUAUUUUUAUUCUUUUUUUUAAUUUUGGUUGGUUAUGACUUUUUUUUGUCAUAACUAAUUAAUUAAAAUCAAAAAAAGACAACUUUCAGCAAUGGAUCUCUUGGCUCUU